rnacentral:rRNA from 1 species
AGAGUUUGAUCCUGGCUCAGGACGAACGCUGGCGGCGUGCCUAAUACAUGCAAGUAGAACGCACAGUUUAUACCGUAGCUUGCUACACCAUAGACUGUGAGUUGCGAACGGGUGAGUAACGCGUAGGUAACCUGCCUAUUAGAGGGGGAUAACUAUUGGAAACGAUAGCUAAUACCGCAUAACAGUAUGUAACGCAUGUUAGAUGCUUGAAAGAUGCAAUUGCAUCGCUAGUAGAUGGACCUGCGUUGUAUUAGCUAGUAGGUAGGGUAAAGGCCUACCUAGGCAACGAUACAUAGCCGACCUGAGAGGGUGAUCGGCCACACUGGGACUGAGACACGGCCCAGACUCCUACGGGAGGCAGCAGUAGGGAAUCUUCGGCAAUGGGGGGAACCCUGACCGAGCAACGCCGCGUGAGUGAAGAAGGUUUUCGGAUCGUAAAGCUCUGUUGUUAAGGAAGAACGAGUGUGAGAAUGGAAAGUUCAUACUGUGACGGUACUUAACCAGAAAGGGACGGCUAACUACGUGCCAGCAGCCGCGGUAAUACGUAGGUCCCGAGCGUUGUCCGGAUUUAUUGGGCGUAAAGCGAGCGCAGGCGGUUAGAAAAGUCUGAAGUGAAAGGCAGUGGCUCAACCAUUGUAGGCUUUGGAAACUGUUUAACUUGAGUGCAGAAGGGGAGAGUGGAAUUCCAUGUGUAGCGGUGAAAUGCAUAGAUAUAUGGAGGAACACCGGUGGCGAAAGCGGCUCUCUGGUCUGUAACUGACGCUGAGGCUCGAAAGCGUGGGGAGCGAACAGGAUUAGAUACCCUGGUAGUCCACGCUGUAAACG